rnacentral:rRNA from 1 species
AGAGUUUGAUCAUGGCUCAGGACGAACGCUGGCGGCGUGCCUAAUACAUGCAAGUCGAGCGGACCGACGGGAGCUUGCUCCCUUAGGUCAGCGGCGGACGGGUGAGUAACACGUGGGUAACCUGCCUGUAAGACUGGGAUAACUCCGGGAAACCGGGGCUAAUACCGGAUGCUUGAUUGAACCGCAUGGUUCAAUCAUAAAAGGUGGCUUUUAGCUACCACUUACAGAUGGACCCGCGGCGCAUUAGCUAGUUGGUGAGGUAACGGCUCACCAAGGCGACGAUGCGUAGCCGACCUGAGAGGGUGAUCGGCCACACUGGGACUGAGACACGGCCCAGACUCCUACGGGAGGCGGCAGUAGGGAAUCUUCCGCAAUGGACGAAAGUCUGACGGAGCAACGCCGCGUGAGUGAUGAAGGUUUUCGGAUCGUAAAACUCUGUUGUUAGGGAAGAACAAGUACCGUUCGAAUAGGGCGGCACCUUGACGGUACCUAACCAGAAAGCCACGGCUAACUACGUGCCAGCAGCCGCGGUAAUACGUAGGUGGCAAGCGUUGUCCGGGAAUUAUUGGGCGUAAAGCGCGCGCAGGCGGUUUCUUAAGUCUGAUGUGAAAGCCCCCGGCUCAACCGGGGAGGGUCAUUGGAAACUGGGGAACUUGAGUGCAGAAGAGGAGAGUGGAAUUCCACGUGUAGCGGUGAAAUGCGUAGAGAUGUGGAGGAACACCAGUGGCGAAGGCGACUCUCUGGUCUGCAACUGACGCUGAGGCGCGAAAGCGUGGGGAGCGAACAGGAUUAGAUACCCUGGUAGUCCACGCCGUAAACGAUGAGUGCUAAGUGUUAGAGGGUUUCCGCCCUUUAGUGCUGCAGCAAACGCAUUAAGCACUCCGCCUGGGGAGUACGGUCGCAAGACUGAAACUCAAAGGAAUUGACGGGGGCCCGCACAAGCGGUGGAGCAUGUGGUUUAAUUCGAAGCAACGCGAAGAACCUUACCAGGUCUUGACAUCCUCUGACAACCCUAGAGAUAGGGCUUCCCCUUCGGGGGCAGAGUGACAGGUGGUGCAUGGUUGUCGUCAGCUCGUGUCGUGAGAUGUUGGGUUAAGUCCCGCAACGAGCGCAACCCUUGAUCUUAGUUGCCAGCAUUCAGUUGGGCACUCUAAGGUGACUGCCGGUGACAAACCGGAGGAAGGUGGGGAUGACGUCAAAUCAUCAUGCCCCUUAUGACCUGGGCUACACACGUGCUACAAUGGGCAGAACAAAGGACAGCGAAGCCGCGAGGCUAAGCCAAUCCCACAAAUCUGUUCUCAGUUCGGAUCGCAGUCUGCAACUCGACUGCGUGAAGCUGGAAUCGCUAGUAAUCGCGGAUCAGCAUGCCGCGGUGAAUACGUUCCCGGGCCUUGUACACACCGCCCGUCACACCACGAGAGUUUGUAACACCCGAAGUCGGUGAGGUAACCUUUUGGAGCCAGCCGCCGAAGGUGGGACAGAUGAUUGGGGUGAAGUCGUAACAAGGUAACCGUA